UGAACGCUGGCGGCGUGCCUAAUACAUGCAAGUCGAGCGAACAGACGAGGAGCUUGCUCCUCUGACGUUAGCGGCGGACGGGUGAGUAACACGUGGAUAACCUACCUAUAAGACUGGGAUAACUUCGGGAAACCGGAGCUAAUACCGGAUAAUAUAUUGAACCGCAUGGUUCAAUAGUGAAAGACGGUUUUGCUGUCACUUAUAGAUGGAUCCGCGCCGCAUUAGCUAGUUGGUAAGGUAACGGCUUACCAAGGCAACGAUGCGUAGCCGACCUGAGAGGGUGAUCGGCCACACUGGAACUGAGACACGGUCCAGACUCCUACGGGAGGCAGCAGUAGGGAAUCUUCCGCAAAGGGCGAAAGCCUGACGGAGCAACGCCGCGUGAGUGAUGAAGGUCUUCGGAUCGUAAAACUCUGUUAUUAGGGAAGGACAAAUGUGUAAGUAACUAUGCACGUCUUGACGGUACCUAAUCAGAAAGCCACGGCUAACUACGUG
rnacentral:rRNA from 1 species